GCGGCCAUGGUGGAAUUGGUAGACACGCAAGCUUGAGGUGCUUGUGGAGCGAUCCGUGGAAGUUCGAGUCUUCUUGGCCGCACCA
rnacentral:tRNA from 1 species